GUAGGUGGCAAGCGUUAUCCGGAUUUACUGGGUGUAAAGGGCGAGUAGGCGGGAUUGCAAGUCAGAUGUGAAAACUAUGGGCUCAACCCAUAGACUGCAUUUGAAACUGUAGUUCUUGAGUGAUGGAGAGGCAGGCGGAAUUCCCGGUGUAGCGGUGGAAUGCGUAGAUAUCGGGAGGAACACCAGUGGCGAAGGCGGCCUGCUGGACAUUAACUGACGCUGAGGCGCGAAAGCGUGGGGAGCAAACAGGAUUAGAUACCCUGGUAGUCCACGCUGUAAACGAUGAUUACUAGGUGUGGGGGGACUGACCCUUUCCGUGCNGAAGUUAACACAAUAGGUAAUCNACNUGGGGAG
rnacentral:rRNA from 1 species